CAACCCAGGUUCACUGCCACAGUUCCUCUUGGAUGGCUUCUCAGUGGCACUAACAGCGAUUUAUAACCAGAUCCUGUGGUUUUAUGGUCAUCGACUUGGGUAGUCAUGGAUCCUAGCUGAAAGAAUGAUACGAGCAAUCAUUGCUUGGUUUGCAAUACUCAUCAAACCUUAUACUAUGAGAACAUUUGGCGUAUUAGAAGUUUCAGCCAGUACAACAUUUUCAGAGACAAGGCAAGAUCAAACUGGAAACAUAGCAAACUUGAACAUGAGAGAUGCUGGAAUAGAGACA